rnacentral:rRNA from 1 species
GACAGAGGGUGCAAACGUUGCUCGGAAUUACUGGGCGUAAAGCGCGUGUAGGCGGGAAGAUAAGUCGGGUGUGAAAUCCCUGGGCUCAACCUAGGAACUGCAUCCGAAACUGCCUUUCUGGAGUGAUGGAGAGGAAAGCGGAAUUCCCGGUGUAGAGGUGAAAUUCGUAGAUAUCGGGAGGAACACCAGUGGCGAAGGCGGCUUUCUGGCCAUCAACUGACGCUGAGACGCGAAAGCGUGGGGAGCGAACCGG